CCCAUUCACACCUGCGACAGCUAAGUAUGUUAAGGCUAAUUAAUACACCCAAGUCAUAGGCUAAAAAGUAGAACCACUGAAAUAUAAUAACAACGAGUGGGACAUACAAGCGUCGAAAAAAAUAUUGUCUAUGUUGUGAAAGAACAAGUGCAAGCGAAAGUACUGGUGGGACUUGAACUUGCACGACGUUUCCUCAACGGGGUCUGACACAGUGAUUAAGACUGGGGAGAGGUCGAGAGGCAGAGUCGCAUUGUUGGUGUUACACCAAUCAGAGGCAAGGCAGAGGUCAUGGGCAUGUCUGGAGGCAGGACACGCCCUACGUGGCAGAGAUGAUGGUCUCUAUCUGCUGCACCACCUGGGCCAAAAUCUCUCUGGUCAGAUUACCAACUCACAUCUUAUGAUGAUCCCAUUGUCUCAUUUUCUCUCAUCUCCUUCCAUUCUCAUCUUCUCCAGCUUUCAUCUUCUCCAAAUCUCAUUUUCCUCAUCCUUGGCCAAAAGAACCCAUAGUCCCUUCCCAGCAUGGUGGCUGGUGGCACUUUAAAUCGGAGGACAGGCUCAUAAUAAUGGCUGGAA